UACGGAGGGUGCGAGCGUUAAUCGGAAUUACUGGGCGUAAAGCGCGCGUAGGCGGCUGCGCAAGUUGGGGGUGAAAUCCCUGGGCUCAACCUGGGAACUGCUCUCAAGACUGCGCGGCUAGAGUACGGUAGAGGUGAGUGGAAUUUCCCGUGUAGCGGUGAAAUGCGUAGAGAUGGGAAGGAACACCGGUGGCGAAGGCGGCUCACUGGACCGAUACUGACGCUGAGGUGCGAAAGCGUGGGGAGCAAACAGG
rnacentral:rRNA from 1 species